rnacentral:rRNA from 1 species
UGCGGCAGCUACACAUGCAGUCGAGCGGUAGCACGGGAAACUUGCUUCUCUCGGAGGAGAGGGGGAGAGGGGAGUAAUGUGUGGGGAACUGCCCCAUAUAGGGGGAGAUCUCCUGGAAAAGGAGGGUAUAACCCCGCAAUCUCUUUAGAGCGGAAAGGGGGAAAUUCCGUCCUUGCUCUAUCGGAUAAACCCCUAUGGGAUUAUCUAUUAUGUGGGGUAUUGGCUCACCUAGGCGACAAUCCCUAUCUGGUCUGAGAGGAUGAUACCCCACACUGGGACUGAAACACGGCCCAAACUCCUACCGGAGGCAGCAGUGGGGAAUAUUGCACAAUGGGCGCAAGCCUGAUGCAGCCAUGCCGCGUGUAUGAAGAAGGCCGUAGGGUUGUAAAGUACUUUCAUUCUGGAGGAAGGCGUUGAUGCUAAUAUCAUCUCUGAUUGACGUUACCGACAGAAAAAGCACCGGCUAACUCCGUGCCACCAGCCGCGGUAAUACGGAGGGUGUGCGCGUGUUUCUCAAUUUUUGGGGGUAUAGCGCGCGCACGCGGUUGAUUAAAUUAAAUAUGAAAUCUCCGGGGUUUCCCUGGGAAUGGCGUCUUUUACUGGUCAGCUAUAGUCUUGUAUAAGGGGGUAGAAUUCUCCGUGUAUCGCUGAAAUGCGCUAUAGAUGUGUGAGAGAGAACACGGUGGCGAAAGCGCGCCCCCUGUGACAAUAUACUGACACUCUCAGUGCGAAAGCGUGUGGGAGAACACACAGAUAUAAAUAUACCUGUGUAAUCCCCGCUGUAAACAAUGUCUCAUAUGAGAUGUUGUGCCCUUGAGGCGUGUCUUCCCGCAGCUAACGCGUGAAAUCGACCGCCUGGGGAGUACGUCGCAAGAUUAAAACUCAAAUGAAUUGACGGGGGACCCGCACAAGCGGUGGAUCAUGUGGUUUUAUUUCGAUGCAACGCGCAAAAACCUUACCUACUCUUGACAUCUCUAGAAUUUGCACAGAUGCUCUAGUGCCUUCUGGACUCUGAGACACGUGCUGCUACGGGUGUCGUCUCAUCUCGUGCGAAUAUUUGGGUAAUUCCCGCACAAGAGCGACACCCUUAU